UCCCAUUCACGGAUCUUGGUAUAGAGGCUCACUCUUACUCACCAGACAGGCAAGGAAGGUUCAAUCCUUUGGUGUUAGAGAGAUAGGGGUUGGGUUCUCAAAUUUCAACGUGGAGAAAGGAGUCAUUUGCAAUGCUUUUGAGAAAGUACUGUGUAGACCCUAUGAGCCUGCACUCAUUAUGUGUGAGACUGAUGACCACUGGUUGGCUUAUUAUCCAUUCCCCUAAGUGACAAAAUCCCACUGACUAUUGAAACCCAACAUCAGCUCCUGGCAUGCUGGUACCUCUGAAUCACAACCAGCUGCAAUUCCAGGAUGGAGUUCAAACUAAUUGCGGGGACAUGUGCUUCUGACAUGACUGCUAGAUCAUUCCCAGAUGGAAAACCAUGAAUUCUAUGUCAUGGACCCACUAGACAAGGGACCUUCCUUGGUACCAAAGGAUAAGAAAUGUGGAUUUGUUCCCUGGGAUAUUCAUGUUAGAUGCUCACUACAUCAUCGGCGUAAGGUCAGCCGAGAGAAAGGAUGAGGAGACCUACAAAUCAGAGCUCAGACCUCAAUGCACAGGACUCUCGAUGCAGAGAGAAUGAGCUCAAGCCCCUUCUGCAGACAGACGCGGUCUCUGUGCAGGAUGUCCGCUUAGAUCUUAAGACCCUUCAUAGGAAAACCGUGAAUGAUACAACCAGACUAACAGGCCAGGAAACAGCCUCCAGGAAGGACAGCCUGCCACAGGUUACAAGGACAAUGAAACUUGCAGGAUACAUGCAUGAUGUUGACCUCCCUAGCGUAGCUGGACUCAUGGUGCUGCAGGGAGACCUGAAGCCCACACGAGACACAAUUUCACCAUGUUGCCCAGGCUGGUCUUGA
rnacentral:lncRNA from 10 species